rnacentral:ncRNA from 2 species
AACUAAAUAUUAGGGGCGGGUCCCCUCGGGGGAUAAUAGGGAAGACCGGGGAGCAGCUAACCUGCUUGAGCCGGCGCGGUCCCGCCACUGUAACCGGGGAGGAGCCGCAAAUUGCCACUGGUUAUAUACUCACUGGAAAGCUAAAAAGAUAUUUUUCAACAAUUUGUUGUGAUUUUACAAUAUUUAUUGUGAGUAUUGACCGGGAAGGCGCGGUUAUCUGAUGAUCCGCGAGCCAGGAGACCUGCCUGCCCCUUAAAACUGAA